rnacentral:rRNA from 1 species
GAUGAACGCUGGCGGCGUGCUUAACACAUGCAAGUCGAACGGAAAGGCCCAAGCUUGCUUGGGUACUCGAGUGGCGAACGGGUGAGUAACACGUGGGUGAUCUGCCCUGCACUUCGGGAUAAGCCUGGGAAACUGGGGCUAAUACUGGAUAGGACCACCUCUUGGGUGUUGUGGUGGGAAGUUUUUUCGGUGUGGGAUGAGCUCGCGGCCUAUCAGCUUGUUGGUGGGGUAAUGGCCUACCAAGGCGUCGACGGGUAGCCGGCCUGAGAGGGUGUACGGCCACAUUGGGACUGAGAUACGGCCCAGACUCCUACGGGAGGCAGCAGUGGGGAAUAUUGCACAAUGGGCGCAAGCCUGAUGCAGCGACGCCGCGUGGGGGAUGACGGCCUUCGGGUUGUAAACUCCUUUCGCUAGGGACGAAGCGUUUUGUGUCGGUACCUGGAGAAGAAGCACCGGCUAACUACGUG